rnacentral:rRNA from 1 species
AUUGAACGCUGGCGGCAUGCCUUACACAUGCAAGUCGAACGGUAACAGGCCGCAAGGUGCUGACGAGUGGCGAACGGGUGAGUAAUGCAUCGGAACGUGCCCAGUCGUGGGGGAUAACUGCUCGAAAGAGCAGCUAAUACCGCAUACGACCUGAGGGUGAAAGCGGGGGACUGUAAGGCCUCGUGCGAUUGGAGCGGCCGAUGUCAGAUUAGCUAGUUGGUGGGGUAAAGGCCUACCAAGGCAACGAUCUGUAGUUGGUCUGAGAGGACGACCAGCCACACUGGGACUGAGACACGGCCCAGACUCCUACGGGAGGCAGCAGUGGGGAAUUUUGGACAAUGGGCGCAAGCCUGAUCCAGCAAUGCCGCGUGCAGGAAGAAGGCCUUCGGGUUGUAAACUGCUUUUGUCAGGGAAGAAAUCUUCUGGGCUAAUACCCCGGGAGGAUGACGGUACCUGAAGAAUAAGCACCGGCUAACUACGUGCCAGCAGCCGCCGUAACAC